UACGGGGGGGAGCAAGCGUUUGUUCGGAUUUACUGGGCGUAAAGGGCGCGUAGGCGGCCACCGCAAGUCAAUUGUGAAAUCUCUGGGCUUAACCCAGAAAGGUCAACUGAUACUGCGGGGCUAGAGUGCAGAAGGGGCAACUGGAAUUCUCGGUGUAGCGGUGAAAUGCGUAGAGAUCAGGAAGAACAUCGGUGGCGAAAGGCGCUCUGCUGGACCAUAACUGACACUCAGGGACGAAAGCUAGGGGAGCGAAUGGGG
rnacentral:rRNA from 1 species